rnacentral:rRNA from 1 species
GGAAAUUGACGGAAGAACACCACCAGGAGUGGAGUGUGCGGCUUAAUUUGACUCAACGCGGGACAACUUACCGGGCCCGACGACCGUAAGAGUGUGACACACGAUAGGUCGAAGAGUGGUGCAUGGCCGUUAACGACGAGUGGAGUGAUCUUUGGGUUAAGUCCGUAAAUUAGUGAGACCUCAGCCGUAAGGGACAGGUGCGCAAAGCACAGGAAGGAUGGGUCAAGGACAGGUCAGUGAUGCCCUUAGAUGGUCCGGGCUGCACGCGCACUACAGUGGUCGCCGAAAUUAGCUGAUAAUUUUAAAGGCGAUCGAGAGGGAAUGAGCUUUGUAAGAGGCUCAGGAACGAGGAAUUGCUAGUAAUCGCGGACUCAUUAAGACGCGAUGAAUACGUCCCUGUUCUUUGUACACACCGCCCGUCGUUAUCGAAGAUGAAGACAGGCGCGAACGAUCUACCAGAUAGUGAGCGCAGGUCUUUAGAUCUGAUACAAGUCGUAACAAGGUAGCUGUAGGUGAACCUGUAGCUGG